UACGUAGGGGGCUAGCGUUGUUCGGAUUCAUUGGGCGUAAAGGGUGCGUAGGUGGCGCGCUAAGUCAGGUGUGAAAUUUCGGAGCUUAACUCCGAAACUGCAUUUGAUACUGGCGUGCUUGAGGACUGGAGAGGAGACUGGAAUUCACGGUGUAGCAGUGAAAUGCGUAGAUAUCGUGAGGAAGACCAGUGGCGAAGGCGGGUCUCUGGACA
rnacentral:rRNA from 1 species